UUCCUGAUGGCUCACUGGUAAAGAAUCCGCCUGUAAUGCAGGAGAUGCAGGUUCAAUCCCUGGUCAGGAAG
rnacentral:tRNA from 1 species